rnacentral:rRNA from 1 species
AUGAAGAUGGAGCAUGACUUCCAUAUGGCCGAAGGAGAAGACGACAACAGCUACGCCAAGAACUCAAGGCUUCAGGAAAAUGCCUUGGUUGAGACUAAGCCGGCUCUCCGGGAGGCCGUGACACGAGCGUACGCGCCUCUCCUCCAUCCAACAAUGACCAUUGUUGACCUGGGCUGCUCUUCAGGCGGGAACACGCUCCUCUUCGUCUCCAAUGUGAUCGAAGCGGUCAGUCACCAUCUUGAGAAGAUCGGUGGCCAUCCCGCUGAGCUUCAGUUCUUUCUCAAUGAUUUACCAAGCAAUGACUUCAACCGCGUCUUCCGAUCGGUUCAACGGUUCAAGAACUCGAUUGGUAUGGGUCGUCACAAGGGAGAGGAGAUACCUGCUUUCUUCAUCACCGGGCUGCCGAGCUCCUACUACACGAGGCUUCUGCCUCGCAGCAGUGUUCAUCUCUUUCACUCGUCGUAUUGCCUGCAUUGGCGCUCUCGGCUUCCCGAUGGAUUAGAAGGCAAGAAAAGGCCGUAUCUGAACGAAGGAAACAUCGACAUUGCGAUGACUACCCCACCCUCUGUGGUGAAAAUGUAUCAAGAGCAGUUUCAGAAGGACAUGCUGUUGUUCCUCCGGCUGCGAUAUGAAGAACUAUUUGCAGGUGGACAGAUGAUGCUCACAUUUCUAGGGAGGAAACAUGGCGACGCCUACAACGGAGGUCUCUGCCGUUUACACGGUCUGCUCUCACGGUCCGUGCAAUCUCUUGUUGACGAGGGCCUCGUGGAGAAAGAAAAGCUCGACUCCUUUAAUCUACCUUUGUACGGCCCAUCGAUGGAAGAAGUCAAAGCAGUCGUCGAGCAAAGCCAGCAGUUUCGCAUGAAUCAUAUCAAGCUGUUCGAGACCAACUGGGAUCCUUACGACGAUUCGGAAGGCAAUGAUGUGCACGACAGUGUCCAAAGUGGCAUAAAUGUCUCCAAGAGCUUGAGGGCAGUGAUGGAGCCCCUGUUUGCAAGCCAUUUCGGCGAAUCCGUCCUCGACAAGCUCUUCAAGAAAUUUGCAUACAACGUUGAGGUGCACCUGGAGAUGGAGAAGACCAAGUACUCCGUCAUUACACUGUCGUUAACAAGGAUUUGA